rnacentral:RNase_P_RNA from 2 species
GUGCUCAUUCAAGAUGGUUGCCCGUUUCUGCCGUCCUGUUGGACGGCACGUAGCGGGAGGAAAGUCCGAACACCCUAUGACAACGCAGGUCACAUUGACAGUCCCCGCGUUGACGUAUAGAAGCAGGUAGUGGGUAACGCCCACCCUUUGCAUGGCAACAUGCAGAGCGGGACAGUGCCACAGAGACGAUACUAAUCCCGAUUCGUCGGGAUCAAAGGUGAAACGUGUUCUGAUAUAUAAGACGAUAGAAGGAAUUCCUUGUCUUAUGUUACAGAACUCGGCUCCGCGUAAGCGGAUGCCGUGGUAAACCCUGCCUGGUGCAAGUGCAGCGCUUCUCGAGGUGAAUCGGGAUUCGAAAAGUUCGCACGCAAAGAACUGCGGGAGCAAUCCCGUGGUCAAGAGUGAUAACCAUCACCCAUUGUCUGGGAACAGAAUUCGGCUUAUUGAAUGGGCACCGUA